rnacentral:rRNA from 1 species
CUUGGUCAUUUAGAGGAAGUAAAAGUCGUAACAAGGUCUCCGUUGGUGAACCAGCGGAGGGAUCAUUACCGAGUUUACAACUCCCAAACCCCUGUGAACAUACCUAUACGUUGCCUCGGCGGAUCAGCCCGCGCCCCGUAAAACGGGACGGCCCGCCCGAGGACCCCUAAACUCUGUUUUUAGUGGAACUUCUGAGUAAAACAAGCAAAUAAAUCAAAACUUUCAACAACGGAUCUCUUGGUUCUGGCAUCGAUGAAGAACGCAGCAAAAUGCGAUAAGUAAUGUGAAUUGCAGAAUUCAGUGAAUCAUCGAAUCUUUGAACGCACAUUGCGCCCGCCAGUAUUCUGGCGGGCAUGCCUGUUCGAGCGUCAUUUCAACCCUCAUGCUCAGCUUGGUGUUGGGACUCGCGGUAACCCGCGUUCCCCAAAUCGAUUGGCGGUCACGUCGAGCUUCCAUAGCGUAGUAAUCAUACACCUCGUUACUGGUAAUCGUCGCGGCCACGCCGUUAAACCCCAACUUCUGAAUGUUGACCUCGGAUCAGGUAGGAAUACCCGCUGAACUUAAGCAUAUCAAUAAGCGGAGGA